rnacentral:misc_RNA from 1 species
GUGUACUCCCUCCGUCCUAUAAAAAACCAACCUAGUACUGGAUGUGACACAUUCUAGUACUACGAAUCUGGAUAUACAUCUGUCCAGAUUCAUUGCCCUAGAAUAUGUCACAUCCAGUUCUAGAUUCAUUUUUUUUCGAGACAGAGGGAG